AAAAAAAAAAAAAAGAGAAAAAAGAGUUCUUCGUCCUUCGCUGAUCAGGUGAACUGACUUCUUCUUAAUCAAAAGUUGAGUGAUCCAACAGGGACGACUAGCAGAGCAAAAGGGUAAAAGAUGUCGAUCCCUCCAAAGCUGCGUUUGUAAGCUGUUGCUUGGAUCAGUUUGAUAUCUGAUUCCAUCUUAAAAUUUUAAGAGGAGCUGGUUGUAUUGUCAUUGUUAAGCUUGGAUGGAUAAAAAUUGGAUGCAGAAGGGUAAAUGCCACCCUGACUAUAAACGUGGCUGCGAUGAAUUCAUAAAUUUUGCUUGGUCUCAUCGUACUCCUGAUUUAGGCAAUGGAUCACUACAGUUUGGGGACACCGGAAGUUGAGCUCAUCCAAGAAGAUUCAUCCCACACACAUAAUGUAACCAGUGCAGAUGAAAUUGGCCAAGACUUUGGCAGUUGGACCGGAAAUGAAAUUGGAGGGGAAGAGGUGAUUAGAAGUACAACUGACGGUGAUAAAGGCGAUCUAAAUAAUGACAGCAAAUAAUGACAGCGAUAGUGAUCACAGUGAUUAUUUUAGUGAUUGUGAACGAGAUGAUCUCGGCUAACAUAUAUAAAGUCAAAGUUACUACUGAAUGCUACGGUUUACUUGAUGUUUUCCUGUUUUAUUUUAGCUUGAAUUACUUUCAAUUCUCACUUAAAUUUUAUUUGCUUUCAUUUUUCCGAUGAAGAUCAUUUGAAAAUUGAUUAGACAAAAUUUGUGAUUAAUGGUUCGGAACAUACUCAAUUUCAUGAAUGUACUUUUAAUUUUGUG